rnacentral:rRNA from 1 species
UACGUAGGGGGCGAGCGUUGUCCGGAUUUAUUGGGCGUAAAGAGCGUGUAGGCGGCCAGGUAGGUCUGCUGUGAAAACUCGAGGCUCAACCUCGAGACGUCGGCGGAAACCAUCUGGCUAGAGUCCGGAAGAGGAGAGUGGAAUUCCUGGUGUAGCGGUGAAAUGCGCAGAUAUCAGGAGGAACACCAAUAGCGAAGGCAGCUCGCUGGGACGUUACUGACACUAAGGCGCGAAAGCGUGGGGAGCGAACAGG